AAGGGAUGCUAAUACCGCAUACGUCCUACGGGAGAAAGCAGGGGAUCUUCGGACCUUGCGCUAAUAGAUGAGCCUAAGUCGGAUUAGCUAGUUGGUGGGGUAAAGGCCUACCAAGGCGACGAUCUGUAGCGGGUCUGAGAGGAUGAUCCGCCACACUGGGACUGAGACACGGCCCAGACUCCUACGGGAGGCAGCAGUGGGGAAUAUUGGACAAUGGGGGGAACCCUGAUCCAGCCAUGCCGCGUGUGUGAAGAAGGCCUUAUGGUUGUAAAGCACUUUAAGCGAGGAGGAGGCUACUCUAGUUAAUACCUAGGGAUAGUGGACGUUACUCGCAGAAUAAGCACCGGCUAACUCUGUGCCAGCAGCCGCGGUAAUACAGAGGGUGCAAGCGUUAAUCGGAUUUACUGGGCGUAAAGCGCGCGUAGGCGGCUAAUUAAGUCAAAUGUGAAAUCCCCGAGCUUAACUUGGGAAUUGCAUUCGAUACUGGUUAGCUAGAGUGUGGGAGAGGAUGGUAGAAUUCCAGGUGUAGCGGUGAAAUGCGUAGAGAUCUGGAGGAAUACCGAUGGCGAAGGCAGCCAUCUGGCCUAACACUGACGCUGAGGUGCGAAAGCAUGGGGAGCAAACAGGAUUAGAUACCCUGGUAGUCCAUGCCGUAAACGAUGUCUACUAGCCGUUGG
rnacentral:rRNA from 1 species